UCCUGGUUCUCUGCUUCUUUUGGUAAUGCUGAAGGGAAGAGCCUGGGGCCAGUCCCGGGCUCCUGUUUGGGAUUUCCCUUGGAUCUGAAAGGAAGGUUCGGGUGGCGCGGUGCCGACGCUGGGAGUGGCAACCCCGACGCGCUUUCCGUCAGGUCGCCCGUGGCGUUGACAUCAGUGGGAGGGGAUGCGGCCAACACCACGCCACAACUCGAGAUGGGCACGUGUCUUCUAACGUCAAGGCUCCCGGGGGCGACCAUGCUCUCUGUGGGAGGGUUUAGAGAGCAUGGUGCCCGGCAUGGUGGUCGCGCCAAGGUCUUCGGGUGGUAGUGAUGCGGACGGCGCCGACAACCCACGACGCGUUAAGAACGGGGACGACCGUUUCGACGAGUCGUGUUUGCCGGUGACUCCGUGCCACCCAUCUGGUCUUACGGCAGCGUCACCAUCCACGUCUGCCCUCCAGUUUCUUCCUCCAUGUCGGGGAGCGGCGCCGCCCUGAUCCUAGGGAGGCGCCGAAUCCCAGCUGUGCGCACCUCCGGCCCCUUCGACCUCUUCUUGCAGGAGAUGGACAGGGGCAAAGGCGUAACGGAGCACUUAUCUUUUUUCAAUCUUAAACUAGCCGGUAAUUGCCAAAUUUUAAUUCAAAUAAUGUAAUCUCUCAAGUCCAUCUUUGUAUUCUAUAAUGCUUGUACUUGUAACUUCAUAUGAAUGAAAAAGAUGAAUCUUGUCGGGAA